GACGAACGCUGGCGGCGUGCCUAAUACAUGCAAGUAGAACGCUGAAGGAGGAGCUUGCUUCUCUGGAUGAGUUGCGAACGGGUGAGUAACGCGUAGGUAACCUGCCUGGUAGCGGGGGAUAACUAUUGGAAACGAUAGCUAAUACCGCAUAAGAGUAGAUGUUGCAUGACAUUUGCUUAAAAGGUGCAAUUGCAUCACUACCAGAUGGACCUGCGUUGUAUUAGCUAGUUGGUGGGGUAACGGCUCACCAAGGCGACGAUACAUAGCCGACCUGAGAGGGUGAUCGGCCACACUGGGACUGAGACACGGCCCAGACUCCUACGGGAGGCAGCAGUAGGGAAUCUUCGGCAAUGGACGGAAGGCUGAACGAGCAACGCCGCGUGAGUGAAGAAGGUUUUCGGAUCGUAAAGCUCUGUUGUAAGAGAAGAACGAGUGUGAGAGUGGAAAGUUCACACUGUGACGGUACCUUACCAGAAAGGGACGGCUAACUACGUG
rnacentral:rRNA from 1 species